rnacentral:rRNA from 1 species
CAGCCGCCGCGGGAAUACGUAGGGCGCAAGCGUUGUCCGGAAUUAUUGGGCGUAAAGAGCUCGUAGGCGGUCUGUCGCGUCUGGUGUGAAAUCCCGAGGCUCAACCUCGGGCUUGCAUCGGGUACGGGCAGACUAGAGUGCGGUAGGGGAGACUGGAAUUCCUGGUGUAGCGGUGGAAUGCGCAGAUAUCAGGAGGAACACCGAUGGCGAAGGCAGGUCUCUGGGCCGCAACUGACGCUGAGGAGCGAAAGCAUGGGGAGCGAACAGGAUUAGAUACCCCGGUAGUCCCUGUCUCUAUACA